ACGAACUUGCCGAUGCAAAAAAGACAUUCACUGUACAAGCUAUUUACACAUCUCAACUUCGUUCCACUUAUUUCUCAUUUUAAACCUUCACAACUCUUAUUUCACAACUCAAUUUUUUUUGUUUUUCACUAUUUUUCUUUCAAGCAAGCAUUCAUUUUCAUUUUCUUUAUUUUUUUUCUUUUUCUUUUCACAUUGUAUACACAAAACAGAUGUUUCUCUUUUCUAAUUUUUUUUUCUUUCAAUGCUUGCUCGGUUUUUCAAGAAUUGUGGCACUUACCGAUUCUCAUUUUCGUUCUCCCCAACUUAUCUUUUACUCACCCAAAGUGAAUGCUCUUGACUUUUUACGGCAAAAGAACAAUUAUCAAAAAUUUCCGGGUUUCAAGAAAAAAGAAUUUGACAUCUCGCCUUAUUUC
rnacentral:lncRNA from 1 species